rnacentral:rRNA from 1 species
AGGGCAUUGGCAUGGGGGGAACCCUGAUCCGCCAUGCCGCGUGUGUGAAGAAGGCCUUUUGGUUGUAAAGCACUUUAAGCGAGGAGGAGGCUACUCUAGUUAAUGCCUAGAGAUAGUGGACGUUACUCGCAGAAUAAGCACCGGCUAACUCUGUGCCAGCAGCCGCGGUAAUACAGAGGGUGCGAGCGUUAAUCGGAUUUACUGGGCGUAAAGCGUGCGUAGGUGGCCAAUUAAGUCAAAUGUGAAAUCCCCGAGCUUAACUUGGGAAUUGCAUUCGAUACUGGUUGGCUAGAGUAUGGGAGAGGAUGGUAGAAUUCCAGGUGUAGCGGUGAAAUGCGUAGAGAUCUGGAGGAAUACCGAUGGCGAAGGCAGCCAUCUGGCCUAAUACUGACACUGAGGUACGAAAGCA